CUCGCUCGGCCGCGUCAGGAUCCGACGGGGGCGUCUGUAGCCAGGGAAACAAAUAUUCAAUGGCGAUUAAAGAGGCAUAUAUGGAGAUGAUGCCUUAAAAGAAAACUUCGUUAUUAAUAAUACUGAUCACAGAAGCUACCACACACUGAGAUGUUCUCAGGACUUUGGAGUUAUUACUACAUCUAAUCCUCACUCCAGCCAGGAUUUGGGCCAGGGAUGUAGCUCAGUGGCACUCCACCUGCCUGACAAGCUCAAGGUCCUGAGUUCAAUCCCUGGUACUGCAAAAAAAAAAAAAAAAAAGAAAAAAAAAAGAAAGAAAGAAAGAAAGAAAGAAAGAAAA
rnacentral:lncRNA from 1 species